GACGAACGCUGGCGGCGUGCUUAACACAUGCAAGUCGAGCGGAGCGGCGAACGGGUGAGUAACGCGUGAGUAACUGCCCCCCUCCCUGGGAUAACAGUUGGAAACGGCUGCUAAUACCGGUUAGUGGGGGAUGGCUCGCGUCCUCUCGGCUUGUUGGUGGGGUAGUGGCGUACCAAGGCGACGACGGGGAGCCGGCCUGAGAGGGCGAGCGGCCACAUUGGGCUGGGAGACGGCCCGAACUCCUACGGGAGGCUGUAGUGGGAAAUGUGGCACAAUGGGGCAGACACGGAUGCAGCGACGCCGCGUGCGGGAUGACGGCCUUCGGGUUGUAAACCGCUUUCGGCCAUGACGCGGUAGUGGCAGAAGAAGCACCGGCUAACUACGUGCCAGCCGCCGCGGUAAUUC
rnacentral:rRNA from 1 species